AGAGCGAACGCUGGCGGCAGGCCUAACACAUGCAAGUCGAGCGCCCGUAGCAAUACGGGAGCGGCAGACGGGAGAGUAACACGUGGGAACGCGCCCUUCGGUUCGGAAUAACUCAGGGAAACUUGAGCUAAUACCGGAUACGCCCUUACGGGGAAAGAUUUAUUGCCGAAGGAACGGCCCGCGUCCGAUUAGCUUGUUGGUGAGGUAAUGGCUCACCAAGGCGACGAUCGGUAGCUGGUCUGAGAGGAUGACCAGCCUCACUGGGACUGAGACACGGCCCAGACUCCUACGGGAGGCAGCAGUGGGGAAUAUUGGACAAUGGGCGCAAGCCUGAUCCAGCCAUGCCGCGUGGAUGAUGAAGGCCCUAGGGUUGUAAAGCUCUUUCGCUCGGGACGAUAAUGACGGUACCGAGAUAAGAAGCCCCGGCUAACUUCGUGCCAGCAGCCGU
rnacentral:rRNA from 1 species